GGACGCGUAGCUCAGCGGAAGAGCACACCCUUCACACGGGUGGGGUCAUAGGUUCAAUCCCUAUCGCGUCCACCA
rnacentral:tRNA from 2 species